AAAGCUCAUGGGCUCUGUGGGCAUCUGUGUCACAACCAACAAGCAUCGCGACACCAACUGUGGCCGCUGGAAAAGCAUGUUGCAUGGGAAGCUUCUUCUUGCCCAGGAGUCGACUUCUGCCAAGGGGCAGUCUGGCUGGCCAGGUGCUCUGCCCAGCUGAGGAGCAGGGAGCUGCGGCUGACAGCAGGACUUGGAGAAAGAUGGCGAGGUGGUGCCCAGCGCUUCCUGCAUCUGGCAUCUGGCAUGGCGAGGAGACAGCAUUCUCAUGCCGGUCAGGGAAGGAGAAUGAAGAUAAGGAGAGAGAGAAAUUUGAAGCUGUUUAUUUACCAUCAAAACCAUCCUUUUGAGGUUCACACGCGCUGGUGUUCUGGAGGCCUUCUGGGAGUCGGUGGAGUCCACCAUCAGCCCCGACUGCUUGGGAAUCCGAAUGUUACCACUGCUCUCAAUCCAAAGGCUGCCGUCACUACAGGGUAAGUCC